CAGCCAAGCAGUGAGGACAUAGCGAACCAUUCUUUCGCCUUUUACUAAAGAAUACCGUGUGUUCGCAGCAGAUAGUGGCAGGUCCUAUUUUUGGAGGGCUCUUUCUUCGGAAAGUCC